CCUACGGGAGGCAGCAGUGAGGAAUAUUGGUCAAUGGACGCAAGUCUGAACCAGCCAUGCCGCGUGCAGGAAGACGGCUCUAUGAGUUGUAAACUGCUUUUGUACGAGGGUAAACGCAGAUACGCGUCUCUGUCUGAAAGUACCGUACGAAUAAGGAUCGGCUAACUCCGUGCCAGCAGCCGCGGUAAUACGGAGGAUUCAAGCGUUAUCCGGAUUUAUUGGGUUUAAAGGGUGCGUAGGCGGUCGGAUAAGUUAGAGGUAAAAUCCCGAGGCUCAACUUCGGAAUUGCCUUUGAUACUGGUCGGCUAGGGAGUAGUUGCGGUAGGCGGAAGGUAUGUGGUAGGGGUGAAAGGCUUAGAGAUCAUACAGAACACCGAUGGCGAAGGCAGCUUACCAAGCUACUUCUGACGUUGGGGCACGAAAGCGUGGGGAGCAAACAGGAUUAGAUACCCUGUAGUC
rnacentral:rRNA from 1 species